GACAGAGGGUGUAAACGUUGCUCGGAAUCACUGGGCGUAAAGGGCGUGUAGGCGGGACAGUAAGUCGGGCGUGAAAUCCCUGGGCUCAACCCAGGAACUGCACUCGAAACUACUAUUCUUGAGUGUCGGAGAGGAAAGCGGAAUUCCUGGUGUAGAGGUGAAAUUCGUAGAUAUCAGGAGGAACACCAGUGGCGAAGGCGGCUUUCUGGACGAUAACUGACGCUGAGACGCGAAAGCGUGGGGAGCAAACAGG
rnacentral:rRNA from 1 species